rnacentral:lncRNA from 1 species
CUCCCAUAAGACCCAUAUUCUGACUUUUAGCUGGAGAAUAUCCAACAAUAAAGCACCUGCCCGGCUUUCUUCCUUUGCCUUCCCUAACUCUUCUGAGAAGAAAGGGGAUCCUGCGCAAAGAAAGCCUCUAACAAGAGGAUGCAGGCUGCUAACUCUAAAAGAUUUGCUAUCGAAUACUUUCAAAAAAGGCUGCAUUGCAUAAGCAUAAAAAGAUGCCAGAGAGAAAAGGCUAGAACUUAUGCUUUGACUUGAUUGAUAGCUCUUUUCUCUUAUACCUAUUCCAAGCUGAUA